AUCGCUCCCGAGCGUCCAUAGCGGCGGAGCGGUUUGGCACCUCGAUGUCGGCUCAUCGCAUCCUGGGGCUGAAGGCGGUCCCAAGGGUUGGGCUGUUCGCCCAUUAAAGCGGUACGCGAGCUGGGUUCAGACCGGCGUGAGCCAGGUCGGUCCCUAUCUGUUGUGGGCGUCGCAAACUUGUGAGGAGUCAACCCUAGUACGAGAGGAUUGGGUUGGACGAACCCCUGGUGAUCCUGUUGCACCGCUCGGUGCACCGCAGGGUAGCUACGUUCGGCAGGGAUAACCGCUGAAAGCAUCUAAGCGGGAAGCCCCCCUCGAGAUGAGGUUUGCUAGCAUUUGCGAGAGACCCCCGGUAGACCACCGGGUUGAUAGGCCGCAUGUGUAAGAGCUGAGAGGCUCUCAGCAGAGCGGUACUAACGGUCGAAGGUUUGAUCGCUC
rnacentral:rRNA from 1 species